rnacentral:lncRNA from 1 species
UUGUGAAUUUGCCUAAUUCACAUCUUACCCAUUUAAUUAACUUGGUUCACAUCCCACGCUAUUAUAACACCUCAGCUGAUAGGCUAGCCAAGGAGGGUGCAGUUAGAGAGAAACUAUUAGCUGCAUGGUUGGGUUGACUUUUGCUGGUUUAAUUGCUAAGUUGGUUUUCUCUUCCAUAAUCAUGGUGCAGAUGUCUAGUUUCUUUUCUAUUUAUGAUCCUUUUUCUCUGAGCAAGUUUAAGGCUAGGUCAAGCUAUUGGUAAUGAUGGUGCAAUGCUUGUUAAUGCUGGUGUGAAUAUGCAAGUACCUAAUGGUGCAGUGCAUGCUAUCGGUGUUGCUCUCAAUGAAGGUAAUGAGGAGUGCUUU